rnacentral:rRNA from 1 species
AAUGAACGCUGGCGGCAUGCCUAACACAUGCAAGUCGAACGAAGGCUUCGGCCUUAGUGGCGCACGGGUGCGUAACGCGUGGGAAUCUGCCCUCAGGUUCGGAAUAACAGCGAGAAAUUGCUGCUAAUACCGGAUGAUAUCGCGAGAUCAAAGAUUUAUCGCCUGAGGAUGAGCCCGCGUAGGAUUAGCUAGUUGGUGUGGUAAAGGCGCACCAAGGCGACGAUCCUUAGCUGGUCUGAGAGGAUGAUCAGCCACACUGGGACUGAGACACGGCCCAGACUCCUACGGGAGGCAGCAGUGGGGAAUAUUGGACAAUGGGCGAAAGCCUGAUCCAGCAAUGCCGCGUGAGUGAUGAAGGCCUUAGGGUUGUAAAGCUCUUUUACCCGGGAUGAUAAUGACAGUACCGGGAGAAUAAGCUCCGGCUAACUCCGUGCCAGCCGCCGCAGUAA